UACGUAGGGUGCAAGCGUUGUCCGGAAUCACUGGGCGUAAAGCGUGCGUAGGUGGGAAUUUAAGUGUGAUGUUAAAUCGUGUGGCUCAACCAUAUCGAUGCAUCGCAUACUGGGUUCCUAGAGGACGGCAGAGGCAAGUGGAAUUAGCAGUGUAGCAGUGAAAUGCGUAGAUAUUGCUAGGAACACCAAUGGCGAAGGCAGCUUGCUGGGCCACUCCUGACACUGAGGUACGAAAGCGUGGGGAGCGAACAGG
rnacentral:rRNA from 1 species